rnacentral:rRNA from 1 species
AGAGUUUGAUCAUGGCUCAGAUUGAACGCUGGCGGUAGGCUUAACACAUGCAAGUCGAGCGGUAACAGAGAUAGCUUGCUAUCUGCUGACGAGCGGCGGACGGGUGAGUAACGCGUAGGAAACUGCCUGGUAGUGGGGGAUAGCCCAGAGAAAUUUGGAUUAAUACCGCAUACGCCCUACGGGGGAAAGGGGGCUUCGGCUCUUCGGCUCUCGCUAUCAGAUGUGCCUGCGUAAGAUUAGCUAGUUGGUGAGGUAAAGGCUCACCAAGGCGACGAUCUUUAGCUGGUCUGAGAGGAUGAUCAGCCACACUGGAACUGAGACACGGUCCAGACUCCUACGGGAGGCAGCAGUGGGGAAUAUUGCACAAUGGGCGCAAGCCUGAUGCAGCCAUACCGCGUGUGUGAAGAAGGCUUUCGGGUUGUAAAGCACUUUCAGCGAGGAGAAAGGUUAGUCGUUAAUAUCGGCUAGCUGUGACGUUACCCACAGAAGAAGGACCGGCUAACUCCGUGCCAGCAGCCGCGGUAAUACGGAGGGUCCAAGCGUUAAUCGGAAUUACUGGGCGUAAAGCGUGCGUAGGCGGUUUGUUAAGUGGAAUGUGAAAGCCCCGGGCUCAACCUGGGAACUGCAUCCCAAACUGGCAAACUAGAGUGCGGAAGAGGAGUGUGGAAUUUCCUGUGUAGCGGUGAAAUGCGUAGAUAUAGGAAGGAACACCAGUGGCGAAGGCGACACUCUGGUCUGACACUGACGCUGAGGUACGAAAGCGUGGGGAGCAAACGGGAUUAGAUAUCCCGGUAGUCCACGCCGUAAACGAUGUCUACUAGCCGUUGGGAGACUUGAUCUCUUAGUGGCGCAGCUAACGCAAUAAGUAGACCGCCUGGGGAGUACGGCCGCAAGGUUAAAACUCAAAUGAAUUGACGGGGGCCCGCACAAGCGGUGGAGCAUGUGGUUUAAUUCGAUGCAACGCGAAGAACCUUACCUGGUCUUGACAUCCUACGAACUUACUAGAGAUAGUUUGGUGCCUUCGGGAACGUAGUGACAGGUGCUGCAUGGCUGUCGUCAGCUCGUGUUGUGAAAUGUUGGGUUAAGUCCCGUAAGGUGGGGACGACGUCAAGUCAUCAUGGCCCUUACGACCAGGGCUACACACGUGCUACAAUGGACGGUACAGAGGGUUGCCAAGCCGCGAGGUGGAGCUAAUCCCAUAAAACCGUUCGUAGUCCGGAUUGGAGUCUGCAACUCGACUCCAUGAAGUCGGAAUCGCUAGUAAUCGUGAAUCAGAAUGUCACGGUGAAUACGUUCCCGGGCCUUGUACACACCGCCCGUCACACCAUGGGAGUGGGUUGCUCCAGAAGUGGCUAGUCUAACCUUCGGGAGGACGGUCACCACGGAGUGAUUCAUGACUGGGGUGAAGUCGUAACAAGGUA